AUUGAACGCUGGCGGCAGGCCUAACACAUGCAAGUCGAGCGCGAAAGUUCUUCGGAAUGAGUAAAGCGGCGGACGGGUGAGUAAUACAUGGGAAUCUGCCUGGUAGUGGGGGGACAACGUUUCGAAAGGAACGCUAAUACCGCAUACGCCCUACGGGGAAAGGGGGGGAGUCUUCGGACCUCUCGCUAUCAGAUGAGCCC
rnacentral:rRNA from 1 species